CAGACCUCUUAUCUCUAAAUAUCAGUAUUACUAAUGAAGUCUAACACGAUCGUAUUAGUUUUAGGUCUAUUGAUUAAUAAAACAUGUAGGGCUGAGUAAAUAUAUGUUUAUUAGUGGAUAAUAUAUAUUCUAAUCAAGAUUGAUUUAUUAAAAUGUCUCUUGAAGAGGAAAACGAUUCACUACUCGAGGAAAAAAAUGUCUCUUGAAGAGGAAAACAAUUCACUACUCGAGGAAGUAUUUGAGUUACUCGAGGGUCCCGACUGUGACAAUCCGGAAGUGAUUCUGCUGAUUGGAAGAAGUGGUGCUGGGAAAAGCUCUCUUGUUAACACCUUACAUAUGGUUUUAACAGGACGAUUUUACAUGAUAGCUAAACAGGGAAGUGGGCAAGCACAGACGGUGACGCUUGAUUUGUUAAGGUACAACAACUGCGGAGUAAUAUAACAUAGAAUUUCUGACACAAGUACACGAGAAAGGAUGACAAAUCUAUUACCAAAGUUGCCACAUAUUCUUGACUGUGCUGGACUAACUGACGAAAAUACACCCAAGCUACGCGAGAUAAUAGAGCUUCUGAUUGGAGGUUAUAUUCGGCCUGGGACAAGCAUUGACGGGCUGGAGAAAAAGCAAGAGGAAUGCGGCAUUGGACGGUUGAAAGAAGUAUUUAAACCUGACCCAGCCUGGAAAGUUUUAAAGAUUGUCUUCAUGCAAGGGUGUAUUGAUGAUAUACCUAAAAAUCUAAUCCAAUGUUUGAGAGAGGUUUUGAAGAUAUCCAACCCGGCUACGUUAUCUA
rnacentral:lncRNA from 1 species